rnacentral:tRNA from 7 species
GCCCUUGUAGCUCAGUGGAUAGAGCGCUUGCCUCCGGAGCAAGAAGUCGAAGGUUCGAAUCCUUUCAAGGGCACAA